rnacentral:rRNA from 1 species
AACGAACGCUGGCGGCAGGCUUAACACAUGCAAGUCGAACGCACCUUCCGUGAUGACUUGCUGUCGGGUGAGUCACGCGUGGGAAUCUACCCGUCUCUACCGGAUAGCUCCGUUUAACGGGAAUUAAUACAGUAUACGUUACGCUGGUGCAGGAUUUAUCGGGGGAGGGUGAGCCCGCGUUGGUUUAGCCAGUUGGGGGUGUAAAGGCCUACCAAGGCGUGGAUCGAUAGCUGGUCUAAGAGGAAGAUCAGCCACACUGGGACUGAGACACGGCACAAACUUCUGCGGUAGGCAGCAGUGGGGAAUCCUAGGCAAUGGGGGAGAGCCUGAUACAGGAAUAUCGCGUGAGUGCAGAAGGCGCCCGGGCGGUAAAGUCAUGAUGUUGGUAGAGAAGAGCAGCAGGUUAAGACGGGGCGGUAAUGACGGUACCCAAAGAAGAAGCACCGGCUAACUUCGUG